ACAGUAGAAUCAGCCAGAAGAGAGUGUUGAACAAGAUGAACUGGAAAUUGUUUCAAUAUUUAUAAAACUCCAAAGGAAAUAAUGUAGUUUUAGAAAAAAAUAAGUGUGUCAGUUUGUCAAAAUGCAAAAUCUCGGUCACUUACAACAAG
ensembl:ncRNA T21C12.9 ncRNA